GUGACAGCCCCGUACACAAAAAUGCACAUAUUGUGAGCUUGAUGAGUAGGGCGGGACACGUGGUAUCCUGUCUGAAUAUGGGGGGACCAUCCUCCAAGGCUAAAUACUCCUGACUGACCGAUAGUGAACCAGUACCGUGAGGGAAAGGCGAAAAGAACCCCGGCGAGGGGAGUGAAAAAGAACCUGAAACCGUGUACGUACAAGCAGUGGGAGCACGCUUAGGCGUGUGACUGCGUACCUUUUGUAUAAUGGGUCAGCGACUUAUAUUCUGUAGCAAGGUUAACCGAAUAGGGGAGCCGAAGGGAAACCGAGUCUUAACUGGGCGUUAAGUUGCAGGGUAUAGACCCGAAACCCGGUGAUCUAGCCAUGGGCAGGUUGAAGGUUGGGUAACACUAACUGGAGGACCGAACCGACUAAUGUUGAAAAAUUAGCGGAUGACUUGUGGCUGGGGGUGAAAGGCCAAUCAAACCGGGAGAUAGCUGGUUCUCCCCGAAAGCUAUUUAGGUAGCGCCUCGUGAAUUCAUCUCCGGGGGUAGAGCACUGUUUCGGCAAGGGGGUCAUCCCGACUUACCAACCCGAUGCAAACUGCGAAUACCGGAGAAUGUUAUCACGGGAGACACACGGCGGGUGCUAACGUCCGUCGUGAAGAGGGAAACAACCCAGACCGCCAGCUAAGGUCCCAAAGUCAUGGUUAAGUGGGAAACGAUGUGGGAAGGCCCAGACAGCCAGGAUGUUGGCUUAGAAGCAGCCAUCAUUUAAAGAAAGCGUAAUAGCUCACUGGUCGAGUCGGCCUGCGCGGAAGAUGUAACGGGGCUAAACCAU
rnacentral:rRNA from 1 species